GUUUACGUUAGGACGCUCACUUCUAUGUCUUUCUUAUAACUCCAAAACCUUUCUGCCUUUGCCAUCAUCCAAGAACACCGAUCUUCCACCUUCCGGCACCGUCCUUCCGGCAACUCGACCGGCACCGUCCUUCCGGCAACUCGGCCGGCACCGUCCUUCCAUCUUUCUUAAUCGUUUAGUUCUGGAUGAUGAUGUGAUUUCUGUAAUGAAGGCUGGCAAGCUUAGGUUCUCCAAGCCUAAUAAAUACUAGGUUGAAAGCUCUCAAAAGAGGUAUUGCCUCAUGCAGAGGAUUCGGUUCUUGGAAUAGUUGUUGACUCCAGAUGAGAUCCAGUGGCAAAGCAGGAGAGUUUGGUGCCCUAAAAGAAGGCCAUAUGUUCGAGUGUUCAACCGGUCUCUCAAGGAUGUCAAUGCCUCUUCUCCAUCAACAACUAUCAUCGUAGCUAAUGCUAUUAUGAACUCAGAGACAUUGAGUGGUGUACAACAGAAAAUAAUGGCUAAAAAGCUGCUGCAGAGAGUCCAGUGACCAAGUUAACCGGCGAGUACUGUUGAUGAGACUACAAUAAUAGCUAAGUGCAUGAAUGAUUUUCAACACCUUGGUUGUUUAAUUUUUUCAAGAGUGCUGGAAUUCAUUUGUUGGCUACUGGCUACAUCAUCUAGAUUUUCUGGUCUUGGAGAUAAGUUUUUGUUUUAGGUUGCAAUGUUGUUUUUCUUCUUUUUCUGUAUUUACAGUAUACUUUGCUGUGAGGUACUUGGGCACAACUAGUAGUUUGUUUUUUUGUUACUUUCAUAGUUUUAGUUACACUUUUUAUUGAUGACUUCUGUUUGUUUACAAAAACUAGUAAUUGUAUUUUUUGAGCUAAGAAUACUAACCUUAGAAAGGAAUUAAAACUUCAAAUUAAAAAUUAAAAGAGCAAAAAGAAAGAACAAAAAUUUGUUCUUUCUAAUUGAUGUAUUACUAUUGAAUUGUAUACAUAAUAUUUAUAUACAAAUUGAUUGUGCAAAAAUUUUCUAUCCUCGGAAGAUCCCUAAGAUAUAAUCACAAUGUUCAAAAGACAAACUCAACAAACUCUGGUUUUAACUAAGCGUCUAAAUACAGAUUGACUGCUGCUUGUUGCUCUGAGAUUUGUGCAGUGGAUUGUCUAAAUAUGAAGGAGUUGCAUGCUACAAUAUGUCGUUUUAUUAUAAGGUUGGGAUCUCAAUCAUAUGGUAUAGAAAAAUGUAUUUUAGAAAAUAAAGUGAUGACCAAAUUUGUAGCCUUUAGAUUAGAAAUGUUUUUGUACUUCUGUCAAAAAUUAGGAAUGUGUGCUAUUCCCACAUUUUUGUGUUGAAAUAAAAUAGUUUAGGUGACUUGUCUUCUAGAGAUACAUUAGGGAAUGAGAAAAUCUAAGGUUCAAAGACUGCUUAAAUAGAAUUUAGGUCUAGGUUCUUGUGAAAGAUUAACUAAAUUCUUACCAUCUAAUAUUGACUUAUAUCUUUUUAAUGUAAAACUUGAUUUUUUUUUUGUCACGAUGAAGUUGAUCUUAACAUAGAGUUUUUGAUAGAACAUUGCUGAUUGUAAUGAGUGUAGCUUGUUGCUCUCAUCUCUUAGAAACACAUUUUUAUUAUGAAUACCACUACCACUAUUGUACUCAGAUGAGAAAGAGUCACAAUAUUUUAGUUCUCUUCCUAUUUAUUUUAAUUCUCAAAUUAGGAGCAUAAGACAACAUAAUGUUUCACUUGGAUGAUAAUUCUUAAUAUAAAAAAUAAUAUUUCACUUGGAUAGAUGAAAAUAUCGAAGAAGAAACAUAAGAAAUAAAUUGAAGUAUGAAAAUGCAUUGAAUAAAAAAAAUAUAGUAAAACAAUAGACAAAAUAUUAAAUAAAAAAUCACAUUUUUUGUUAUUUUAAAUUAAAUAGCUAUCAUCAAUUAUAUAUCACAUGUCAGCAAUCAAUUAUAGCCUAUCACCUUUCUAUCGGCUAUUAAUUAUCGCCUAUCAGUUGAUUGAUAGACGAUAGUUGAUAGGUGCUGCUGCCUAUAGGGGGGAUAGGCGCCGCCGCCUAUCGGAGGUGAUAGGCGAUAAACGCCUAUCGGAGGUGAUAGGCGAUAGUGCAUAUCAGGGGUGAUAGGUGAUAGUGCAUAUCAGGGUGAUAGGCGCUACCGCUUAUAGAGGGAUAGACGCUGCCGCCUAUCGGGGGCAAUAUGCGAUAGUGCCUAUUGGGGGCGAUAGGCGCUGCCUCCUAUCGGAGCGAUAGACGCUGCCUCCUAUCGGAGCGAUAGACGCUGCCGCCUAUCGGGGGCGAUAGACGCUGCCGCCUAUCGGGGGCGAUAGGCGCUGCCUCCUAUCGGAGCGAUAGACGCUGCCGCCUAUCGGGGGCAAUAGGCGCUGCCUCCUAUCGGGUUAAUAUCGGGGCGAUAGGGGCUGCCGCCUAUCAGGGCGAUAGGGACUGCCGCCUAUCGGGGCGAUAGGCGCUGCCGCCUAUCGGGUUGAUAUCGGGGCGAUAGGCGCUGCCGCCUAUCGAGACGAUAAUGCUUAUCGGGGUGAUAGGGGCUGCCGCAUAUCGGGGAGAUAUACAGUGCCUAUCGAGGCAAUAAUGCUUAUCGGGGCGAUAUGUGAUAGUGCCUAUCGGGGGUGAUAGGCGCUGUCGCCUAUCGAGUUGAUAUCAAGGGCGCUAGGCGUUCCCGCAUAUCGGUUGAUAGGCGAUAACGCGUAUAGAGGGCGAUAAAUGUUGUCGCCUAUCGUCCGAUAGCUGCUAUCGCCAAGCGAUAGACGAUAGCAACUAUCGAUUGAUAGGCGAUAGAUGACAUCAGCUAUAUAGUCUGAUAGACGCUGUCACCUAUCGCCUGAUAGGCAGUGGCUAUCGCAUGAUAGUCGACAACGCAUAUAGCCCGGUAGCUACUAUCGCCUGAUAGGCAAUAACAUCUAUUAGCAAUAGGCUUUGUUGUCUAUCGGGCGAUAGACGAUAGCCGCAAUUGACUGAUAGGCAAUAAUAUUAAAAAUAAUUACUAUGAGGUGACAAUCAUAGAGUGAGGGAAUUUAUUUUAAAUAUAUAUAAUAGAUAAAUAAUAGAUUUGUAAUGAGAUCAUAAGUCGACUAAUGGAAAAUUGAAUUUGUUACCUUUUUGUAUUACUCUUAUAGUUUUUUAGAAACUCAAUUUUACAUUAAAUAUAUGGUUUUCAAAAUGACAAACACAACUAUUUAGAUUUCAGAUUUCGGAUACAAGUUGGAUUUCAGGAUAAAAGAAUCCAACUAGGUAUGUAAAAAAAAUCACUCAUGUGGGAGUUAAAAAAUACAAGCUGAUUUAUUUAUUUAUUUUUACUCUUUAUUGUCUACCAGAGUUUUUUAGGAAAUUCAUGCAAAAAAUAACAAAAUGUGGUGUAGGGGUUAAGCCAUGGGAUAUAAAAUAUAAUUUCAUAAUAAUGCGUUAACCAAAUUUAUAUUUUUUGGGAUAAUAAGCUUGCUAAAUAUGUUAGGACUAUAGCGGUUAAACAGUUAUUUCUUCGUUCUAAAAUAAAAGUUGAUAAUUUAAAGUAUUUGAUCUAAAAUUAAAUUAAAAAUAUUAAUUUUUUAAUAUAAUUUUUGCUAAUAUUUUGAAUAUGAUAUUCUUCUCCAUCUUAUUCUAUCCUACAUGCAUGAUGCAUGGGAAUCGAAAGUUAAUUUUCCAACAAAAAGAAUGAUAUAAUCAGAAAAGUAAAAAAAUUAACAAGGGUGGUUGGAAUUUAUUUUGUUAAAAAUAUACUUUCUAGUUUACAAUUUUUGUAUAACUGAAAGUGAUCAAAUGAAAGUUUUAUGUUUGGUUUGAGUGUUCCAAAGAAUUAUUUAAUUAUUUAUAAAUAUAAUUUUUUUAUUAAAUUUAAUCAGUCCAAAGAAUUGACGACUUUUGGAUUUUAAAAGUGUUUAGAUUGUGUAGUUCUGUGAUUUUAUGGAAGGUAUUUGACAUCAUUCUUCGGUGGUUCUAUAUACAGAUGAAGUGACUCAUGAGAUUGGGAUCCUACAAUUUUACAAUCUCACACUCCUUCCCCGUGUUCGUUGACGAGCAGAAAAUCAACAUGAUGGGAGAAGGUGGAAUCAGUUGUGGAAUCGGCGAUCUUGCACGAUUCUGUGUGUUUUAGCAUCAUCUAGAUUUGCUACUGUUUCUAAGUCUCAACAACUUCAACUUUCGUUUUGGUUGGUAUUAUCCGCAUUCAACAACUUGACCUCCAAGGCUAUGCGUCUUCUCAACACAGCCUCUUAACCUAUGAUGCAGAAUUUGAAUUUGAUGUUGUAUUUCU